rnacentral:rRNA from 1 species
CAGUAGCCGCGGGAAUACGAAGGGUGCAAGCGUUAAUCGGAAUUACUGGGCGUAAAGCGUGCGUAGGCGGUGAGUUAAGUCUGCUGUGAAAUCCCCGGGCUCAACCUGGGAAUGGCAGUGGAUACUGGCUCGCUAGAGUGUGUCAGAGGAUGGUGGAAUUCCCGGUGUAGCGGUGAAAUGCGUAGAGAUCGGGAGGAACAUCAGUGGCGAAGGCAAUCCCCUGGGCCUGCACUGACGCUCAUGCACGAAAGCGUGGGGAGCAAACAGGAUUAGAUACCCCUGUAGUCCCUGUCUCUUAUAU